CUUUUCAGAUUUGCUUUGUUGUUUAUGUUGCUUCAUUUUUUAUUUCCAUUUUCUUUUUACUUGUGCUAUAUUUAUAUUAUUUGGUGCUUUAUAGGAAUUGAGAGCUGCAAUGAAGUCUGUCAAAAAUGAAGUGUUAAAAACAAAAAGAAGCUACUCAGAGGAUUUCAAGUACUUUGGUGUUGAGCUUUCAAAUGGUAAAGUGGCUGAAACAAAAGUUCUCGAGCGUUGAGAAGAAAGAAUAGCAAUACCAGAAACAAUCUAUCCUAGCAGAGUCUAAGUUGUAUUGCUCUCACGCCUGUGGAACAACUCUGUUAAUAGUGUCUAUUUAGUGUUACUGUAUAUAUCACUGUGUAUAAAACUAAGAUUGAGACAAGUGUAUUCACUCAACUAUAUUGAUAUGUUAGCUGGUUACUUUAAUUACAACUUAUCUUAA